rnacentral:rRNA from 1 species
AUUGAACGCUGGCGGCAGGCCUAACACAUGCAAGUCGAGCGGGAACUUCGGUUCUAGCGGCGGACGGGUGAGUAAUGCGUAGGAAGCUACCCGACAGAGGGGGAUACCAGUUGGAAACGACUGUUAAUACCGCAUAAUGUCUACGGACCAAAGUGUGGGACCUUCGGGCCACAUGCUGUCGGAUGCGCCUACGUGGGAUUAGCUAGUUGGUGAGGUAAUGGCUCACCAAGGCGACGAUCCCUAGCUGGUUUGAGAGGAUGAUCAGCCACACUGGAACUGAGACACGGUCCAGACUCCUACGGGAGGCAGCAGUGGGGAAUAUUGGACAAUGGGCGCAAGCCUGAUCCAGCCAUGCCGCGUGUGUGAAGAAGGCCUUCGGGUUGUAAAGCACUUUCAGUAGGGAGGAAGAGUUGAGUGUUAAUAGUACUCAGCUUUGACGUUACCUACAGAAGAAGCACCGGCUAACUCUGUGCCAGCCGCCGCCGUAACAC